UACGUAGGUGGCAAGCGUUGUUCGGAAUUACUGGGCGUAAAGGGCGCGUAGGCGGCCGCCUAAGUCAGACGUGAAAUCCCUCGGCUCAACCGGGGAACUGCGUCUGAUACUGGGUGGCUUGAAUCCGGGAGAGGGAUGCGGAAUUCCAGGUGUAGCGGUGAAAUGCGUAGAUAUCUGGAGGAACACCGGUGGCGAAGGCGGCAUCCUGGACCGGUAUUGACGCUGAGGCGCGAAAGCCAGGGGAGCAAACGGG
rnacentral:rRNA from 1 species